CCUACGGGAGGCAGCAGUGAGGAAUAUUGGUCAAUGGGCGCUAGCCUGAACCAGCCAAGUAGCGUGAAGGAUGACUGCCCUAUGGGUUGUAAACUUCUUUUAUAUGGGAAUAAAGUGCAGUAUGUAUACUGCUUUGCAUGUACCUUAUGAAUAAGGAUCGGCUAACUCCGGGCAAGCAGCCGCGGUAAUACGGAGGAUCCGAGCGUUAUCCGGAUUUAUGGGGUUUAAAGGGAGCGUAGGCGGGUUGUGAAGUCAGUUGUGAAAGUUUGCGGCACAACCGUAAAAUUGCAGUUGAUACUGGCAUCCUUGAGUACAGUAGAGGUAGGCGGAAUUCGUGGUGUAGCGGUGAAAUGCUUAGACAUCACGAAGAACUCCGAUUGCGAAGGCAGCCUGCUGGACUGUAACUGACGCUGAUGCUCGAAAGUGUGGGUAUCAAACAGGAUUAGAUACCCGUGUAGUC
rnacentral:rRNA from 1 species